ACAUGUGUCUCUCGUGUGUCCAAAAAAAAAGUUUCAACAUGUUGAAUCUUUUCAACAUGAAAUAAUCCAGGUAGGUUUUUAAUUUUAUUCAACACUCUCAUUGUGAAAAUUAAAAAGUUGAAUUUGAAAUUCAAUACCUUCAUUGUAGGUGGUCUAAUGUCUCAUUCUCUAGUGGUCUGAAAGACUACAACUUUAGACUUCCAUAAAAUAGGAAAUACCACAUCUUCAAAUCUCAAACAUGAACCUGUGUUCAAGUCUUGUGAAUCCAAGCAGAUAUUAACACAUUAUCCUGCAAAAACAGAAAAAGGUAACAUCAUGCAAACUAAAAACAUUUGUUUAGGCUUCUGCAAUAUAUCGCCUAAUAUAUUAGAGUACACAAAAAAGAACCAUGAGUUAGGAGCAGUUUUAUAUAGGAAUUAAAAUAAGAGGUUCAUGGUAAAAUUACCAAUUGGAUGUUCCAAAAUUUGAGUUGUGUAAGUUGUUAUAUUUUUUCAAUCAUAGUGAGUUUUGAAGCAACGUACGUAAACUGUUCCAUCGCUAAGUAGAGAAAAAUCAGAAGACUAUAGCAUCCACAAUAAAAUUUUCAGUUUCAACUGUACUUUUAACAAUUAGAUGGUAUGGAACUCCAUCCUGUGGUACAUAUCUGAGAAUUAAAACACAGAUAGCCACGACAGUGAAUGGUAUUAGAGUAUCCACACUGAACUAUUGGAUGAAUAACUAAUGUGAACUACUUAAAGAUCCUUAUCAUAGUGGACGUGAGUUCCCACCUCUCUUGACUUAAUAAUAUAAAAACAUCUGUGAUUGUGAUUUUCAUCAGUACUUGAGUUCACAAGGUAGUUCUAAGAAGAAAACCGGCAACAAUUUAUUAUUUAUCCCUAGCAAUUGCAGUGAAGAUCCAGCUAGCAGAGAGCACGUUCUGCAUGCGGAGCAGAGACUGGUCACAUUUCUCUUUGAAGAAAUCAAGCUCGCUGCGGAUCAUGUCGUUGUUGAGGUCAGUCUGUUGUGUGAGCAUAAAUUGGCGAAUAGUUGGUAACCCGAAUUCCGAGGGGACAUUGCCUCCAUUCCGUGCGACAGACUGAAGGGUGUCCCAUGUCUGACCGGUCGCUCGGCGAGGUGUGGUGCGGUGGGACCACAGUAUCCCGUCGAGCUCGUCCGCCCAAAGGCCUUUCUUCGCGUCUAAGCGCUUUCUGAGGCCGUCGAAAAUCGUUUUGUUUGUUGCCUCGGCCUGUUCGUUGCUUUGUGGGUACCUCGGGUGGAUUUGCUUAGCCUGAUUUUCCAUUUUGCGCAGAAGUCUUCGAAAAUGACCGACGUGAACUGGACGCCGUUAUCCGUGACGAUCUCGUAAGGCAGAUCAUGCCACAGAUGAUGAAUCUCCACACAAAUUUUCGGACGUCCUCGGCGGUGAUCCAGGCGUAUGAUUCAGCCUCGAUCCACUUGGUGAAGUAGUCUGUCAUCACCAAGAGGAAACGCUUUUGGCGGGAUCUGGGUAAGGAUCCCACGAUGUCCAUGACCCAGCGCAUGAAGGGGUAUGGCGGUGAUGCCAUGGUAAGGAACUCGGUUGUUGAGUGUAUCAUAGAACCGUGGCGCUGGCACUUCUCGCACCGAGCUGUGAACUUGUUGCAUUCUUGAACAAUGGUCGACCAAUAGUGCUCUUGAUUGCGGAUCCGGAGUGCGAGGGCCCGGCCACUUGAAUGUCUUCUCCCAGCGCCCUCAUGCAUCUCCUUCAUCACAUCGAUGGUUUCGUCUCCAUGGAGACAGCUGAGUAGGCAGCCCGUUUCGCUCUACCAAAACAGGUUACCAUCGUUCUGGAAGUACUUGGCGGCCUUAUUUUUUAUUCUCUGAGCCGCCCAUCGAUCCUCUGGGACAGUGCCAUCUAUGAUAUAAAGUAGGAUAUCGAUUCGCCAGUCAGACUGCUCGGGCUCGGGUGAAGGAGGUGGCAAGUCUUCGUUGCCCUGGGCGUCUUCCUGAUCCUCAUUGGGGUCGUCGGCGAGGAGCUCGUUGAUUAGGCAGACUCCUUUUAGCAGUUCAAUGCUGGGAGAGUCGAUGCUCUCGACUCAGAUCACGCGUCGUUGAGUUGGGUCCGAGGUAGAGGCCAUGACGGCUAAGGCAUCAGCGGAAGUGUUGUCUCUUCGGGAGAUUUUAGUGAAGCUGAAUUCCAAAAACUCGGAAGUUAGUCCUUGGACCACUUUGAGGUAGGCCUCCAUGCAGUCGUUCUUGGCUUCGUACUCACCGCUAAAUUGAUUUACGACGAGCUGGGAAUCACAGUACGCUUGGAUUUUUUUGUCGCCGAUCUUCUUUGCAAGUCGCAGGCCGGUGAUCAAGGCCUCGUAUUCCGCCUCGUUUUUAGAUGCUUGGAAGGCCAGGCGGAACGACUGCUCCAACACUUCGUGAGUAGGUGAUUCCAAUUGUAUGCCGAUGCCGGAGCAGUGUUUUGAGGCCAAGCCGUCGACGUGGAGACUCCAUUUUUCUUCGGGUUCUUCGCCUUUCAGCUCGGGAGCUAGCUCUACCAAGAAGUCGGCUAGUACCUAGGAUUUGGCAGCCGUGCGUCUGUGGUAAUCGAUGUCGUAUUCGCUAGGCUCUACUACCCACUUCUUCAGUCUUUCGGAUUGGCUCGGGCUGUGGAGGAUUGUCUGGAGCGGAUAGGUUGUGAGAAUGGCGAUGGUAUGAGAUUGGAAAUACGGACGCAGUUUCCGGGCUGCAACUACGACUGCUAGCACAAGUUUUUUCCAUGGUUGGGUACCUGCUCUCCACCCCGUUGAGGGACUUGGACAUGUAGAAUAUGGGCUUCUGCUCGCCCCGGUUCUCUCUUACGAGUAUCUCGCUGACCACCGACGUGGAAACGGCAAUGUAAAGGUAGAACGUUUCUCCCUCCUCGGGUUUGGCCAGGAUGGGAGGUGUGGAGAGGUACUCCUUGAGUUGUUGGAAUGCCUGCUCGCCUUUAUCGUCCCACUCAAAUCGCUUGUUAACUCGGAGCAGCUGAUAGAACGGGAGGCUCUUGUCCGUGGAUCGGGAGAUGAAACGGUUCAGGGCGGCGAUCCUCUCAGUGAGGCGCUGGACUUCGCGGGUGCUUUGUGGUGAUUUGAGCUUGAGGACGGCCUGGAUUUGUUUCAGGUUUGUUUCGGGUUUACUUCAAUCCUGCGCUGUAUUAUGACGUACCCUAGAAAUUCUCCCGAGGUGACGCCGAAUAUGCACUUCGUGGGAUUCAGCUUCAUGUCGUAUUCGUUCAGAAAUUUAAAACGCGUUUUCAGGUGACCAACGUGAUCACUUGAUACCAUAGAUUUUAUGAGCAUGUCGUCUAUGUACACUUCCAUCGUGCGGCCGAGCUGAUCAGUGAAUAUUUUGUUCACAAGGCGCUAGUAGGUGGCCCCGAUGCUUAUUAUCCCGAACGGCAUGACCUUGUAGCAGUAGGUCAGUGAUAAAAUUUGGUUGUAGCCUGAGAAGGCAUCCAUGAACGAGAGCAGCUCGUUACCCGCGGUUGCUUCGACGACCUGGUUGAUCCUUGGCAGAAGGAAACUGUCAUUCGGGCAUGCCUUAUUCAGGUUGGUGAAGUGCACGCAUACUCUCUAUUUGCCACUCUUCUUCUUGACGACGACCGGGUUAGCCAGCCAUUCUGUAUAUCUGACUUCGGUGAUCUGGCCGGUGGCUGUCAAUCUUUCCACCUCGUCAUUAAUCGGUUGAGCGCUUUUGGCGCCUAACUUUCGCCUUUUCUGCUUGAUGGGUCGGAGGUCGGGUCCAUGUUGAGCUCGUGGCUGCAUAUGGUCGGGCUGAUGCCAAACAUGUCACUGGUUAACCAGGCAAAACUAGAGAAGAACUCGACGAGCUUGGUCUUGAUGCUUUCUUUCAGGUUGGCCCCGAUGCCGACGCAACGAUCACAGUGAUUGGGGUCGAUGUUCAUUUGGAUGAUGAGAUCUCGGAGAGGACGAUCUUCUUGGCUCGGUUUGCCUGGAAUAUCUAGUUCGACAAUAUAGCAGGUAUGUAUUUUUUGCGGCUUAUUGUCACGCAGAGCUGAGUGCGCGCAGCGUUACGGAGCUUAUGUUCGAUUAUGAAACAUGAACGCGAGACCCUCAGGCCGCUCCGGACUGUGAACGUUUUGCCCUGAUUGGGGAACUUCAUGCAUUGGUGGUAACCGCCUUCAUCGAAUGCAGCUAAGGGGUUCCGAGGAUGAUGUUGUAGAUGACCGGUCGGUCGAUGAUGGUAGUUUAAAUAUCUUCAUUACCCGGCCUACGUAGAGCGGUAAGGAUAGACUCUAUAACUGUGUUGGUGUCUCCGGCGAAGCCGGUUAAGGGAGUGAUGGAUGGCUUCAUCUCGAUGCUGUGCAGGUCCAUCUUCUUGAGGGCUUCCUUGAAGAUAAGGUCUACUGAGCUGCCUGUAUCGAUGAGCAUCCGGAUUAUGUCACAGUCGACUACGCAAAUUUGGAUGACGAGGUGGUCGUUGUGAGGUUGAUCGACGCCCUCAGCGUCCUCUUCAGAGAAUGUUAUUCCCCUUUUGCUUGUAUCAUGGGCGUUGGUUUCUCUUAUUUUGGCCACCCACAUCUCCGUCGGGGUAGAUUUUUUCUCGUGCACUUUAUCGACCGAACCGAGUCGUUACAAGAUAGGAGGCCACACAUGAUCACUCCGAUCAUCGUCCGGGUUGGCGGGGGAGAUGCCUGUCUUUGAGGCGCGGCGGACGGGUUGAACUCUAUUAUUUUCUCGAGAGGGAGAUCGCUGACGCCAAUUAUCUUGCUGAGUCCGGUUGUCUGGGCGACGACGGUUAUUGUUUCGAGGUCGCCCGUUAUUCCCCCGUGACGGUUGCUGGUCGAAAACUCUUAUCUCUCCCUCUCCCUUCUGGUACUAAGCGAGGAGGGCUUCUUGAAGUUUGCGACACUGCUCGGUUGAGUGCCCUUUCAAUUGAUGGUACUUGCUGAAGGCCUGGUUGUCCUUUGUUGCGGGAGUUUCGACUCGCUAUAAGACGAUGACCCGCGCUGGGGGAGCUGUUUCUAUAGUCCGAAACCACUUGUUUGAUGAGAGAGAUUGCUGGGACUGGCUGGGGAUGAUGGUUUCAGGUCGGUUGUAGUGCGUAUCAAUUGCGUAGUGGGAACCGUCCAUAUGGAAGACAGCUGGUGCUUUUUUGAUGAGGCAUGUGGUCGGUGCAUCGCUGACGAGGAAGGUUGCAGUUUGCUUGCGUUGGUAUUCCUCGUCGUAAUGCUGGCGAGACUCGUGAUAUUUGUCCUGAGCCUUCUCUUUUUGAGCCGGGUUUUUUUGGGAAGCGAUCUUCCUGAAACUCGUCUUUUCUUCCUCAACUUCGAUGAAUAACCCAGCGCGGUGCAGUGCAUCUUCCAGGGUCUGCGGCUCAUUAAGCUUUAAUUCAUCCUUGAAGGCUGAUUCGAAAGGAGAGCUUUCCUCAAGGCCGGGAUUGCGGAUUCAUCUGAUACCGAGGCUCGCGAGGCCGUUGCUUUGAAGCGCUCGAUGAAUGACUGGAGUGACUCCUUUGGUCCCUGUCUUAAGGCCCAGAGGUCGGCAGUUGAGGCAGAUCGAUGGAUGUAUGUGGAGUAAUGCUUGAGGAAGGCAGUUGAAAGCGUCUUGAAAUUAUCGAUUGAGUGCGUCUUCAGCCUGGAUAACCAAGUCAGGGCGGGGCCGACGAAAUUUUCCACGAAAAGUUGGCAGUAACCUGCCUCGCGCUUUUCGGAUGUGAAGUGAGCUCGACCCAUGGCGAUGGUAAAUGCCGUUAGAUACUUUGUGGGGUCGGUGUUCUCGGCAUACGGAGGGAGUUUCACUUUGCUGAUGUGGCGGAAAGGAGUGGAGGCGAUUUGGUGGGUGAAGAGCAUGUUCUGCGUCUCCUGCAGGACAUGGUCUAUCUUGGGGGCCAAGCUCGUGGCCUGAUGGACCUUGGAGGUUAUCUCGCAGAUUUUUGCCUAGAUGGCUUCGAUCUCCGCGUCACAAUCCCGCUCUGCGGCCAUUUCUCGGAACGUCUACGGGCUAGAAUGUGGACGCAUCUAUGCUGAGUGAUUAGCUAGUUGGGCGGAUCUCCGGCUUGGUCCUGCUGAACCGGUUGGGGGGUCGCCGAAGAGGUUUCUUUGUAGACGCAACACCUCUGAACGAUAGGCUUCUUCCAGAUCGCGUUCGACCAAGGACCUGGGGUUCCCCUUAUUUUGUCCGGGCUCCGUGCUCUGCCGUUAGUUCGGCAAACUUUUGGUCAGUUUGGCGGGUCAUCUCUUCCAUUCGAUCGAGCAAAGAGUGAAGUAGAAGAGCCAGGACGUGCUCUCCGCUUGCUGGAGCGUUUUGCUCGCUGGCGUAUGCGGGGUGGCAUGUACCAGUCUCGUUGGCGAUACUAUUGGCUCCGGGAUCUGGCGGGAUGGGCUGUUUUUUAUCGCGGAGUCCAGGGUGAGCGGCGGUACUGGUGGUUGCGCGGGAGCUGAUGGCUGUGGUGUUGACGUUCCAUCCUCUGUUAGCCUGGUGGUUUCCUUGGAUCGGGGAACUGGUGCGGGCAGUGUGGGCGCCGCGAGUGUUGUGACUGAUGCUGCUGCUGAUUGGGCUGUUGAUGGUGAUGAUUUCGGCAUUCCUGAGGUCGAGGUCAGUGUUCCUGCCAUUUCCAAAUCUUUCUUUUGCGUGUAGAAAAUCACCAAACCCCUCCCUCCCCCCUUCUUUUAACGCCAAUUGUUGAUCAUGGAGAUCACUAAGUGUAUUUAAGAGAUAUUACAGAUGAUUAAGAGUGAAUAUGGGGCGAGAUUUCUGUAUGAAGAAAGAAAUUUGAUUUGGACGAGGAAAAAAAGUCAGGUCGGAACUAGAUAUGGUAUAUUAGUGAAAGGAUGUUUAGAAUUCCGAACUAAGUCUAAAGAGAAUUCAGUUUGGCGUUCUAAACCCUAUUACAAAGACCUCGGUCUGAGAGAGAGAAAGAGUUUUUAUAUAGAGAGAGUGUAUUAAAUUUCGGAUCCCCCCAUAAAUGAUCUGUGGGAAGUAUUUAUAACGGGGGUUGGGAAGCAAGUUUCCUCCAAACUGGGACGACGUGGUAGCUUCAGCGCAUCCCGCGGGUAUAGCGUCUCGAGCUGUACCUUUGAACCACUCCGCUGUGAUGAUGAUAGUUCAUCGCCGAGCUAUUCGCGUAGAUAGGUCACUGUAGACGAACUGUUUUUAGACAUGUCAGCUUCUACUCGGUUCUGCAUACUGUAAAUUGGCGUCGUAAUGAUGAUGAUUUAGACGGAGCCACGCUGACUUGACUUGUUAAUUUUGGUUAGACUCUUUGUUGACUUAAUCCAUUAAUUUUAUUAUUCAAAAUGGACUUAGCUAAUUGGGAGUGCUAAGUACUAUCUCUAACAGAGAUAUGAGUUUUGGGAUUCAGUGAAUAGUAUGGGACUAAUCCAACAAUAACUAAUGAUGAAAGUGUAUACAAAAUACAACAUAUCGAUUACACAGUCGACCGGCACUUUCAAGAACCAUAUAAAAAUUAAAUAAAACAGAACAAAUAAAGAUUUAUCUCGCUAUUCUUCUUUUUCUUCGAUCGUAUUCUUCUUCUUCGAAGAUGAAAGUAUAAUUAUGAAAACAUCACAAUACUCGAGAAUCUAAAAAUAGUGUUUUGUUUGUAUGAAAAGUACACUCACGAAAGUCAAGCCCCUCAAAAACGAUAAAAACACUAAUUCAAAAGAGGGCUUCUGAUUUACAAACCUGGAACAAACAAAAACCUAAUUUGAAGCAAUAAUUGUAAAUAUCUGAAAAGACGACAGAUCUGAUUUAUAAAAAUUCGAUCUAAAACAACUAAUAUAAAAACUACAAAUAGAAACACAUCUUCGGGAAUAAAAGUCCUAAGCUGCAAGAACACACUGACAUAAGAGUGUAUUAGUUUUGCUUGUUAUUGCGGCAAAAUAAUCAUCAUCGCAAAUCUCUUAUGAAAAAUCCCAGAUUACACAGCCCUCAUCCACACAUCCCGCUAACAAAUCAAUAAUGAUAAAAAGUAGCAUAAAUUAACCAAAUUAUAGAUAACAAAACAGCAGGCUUAAUGGAGAAAAUUAAAUACAAGAAGUUUAUUCAUUUAAUUUGAAGAUAAUGGAAAACCAAAAUAUUAAAAUUGAUGCUCAUGCUUUGUCUAGAGCUAUAUAUGAACUCAUUAAUCCUAAUAAGCCGAUAGCAUAAAAUAAAUAAUCAGAACACACAUACACAAUUAUUCAUAACAACAUAACCCAUAACCUGAUUUAACGUCAAGAGAGUAUGAAAGACAUCAUCCAAGGGGCACUAGACACUACCCACAAAAGAAACAACAAAAUAUCAGUUUACAAAGAAGAAUAUACAGUACAAAGAAUAAUGAAAAGUUAACUGUAAAUAAAAAAUAGGUGACAUAAGAGAUUAAAAAUAUUUGAAUUCGAACUAUUUUCAAAUUCUUUUGUAUGAUCCUUAUCUUCGUGUAUAUUUGAGACCUCGUUAUCCGUAUCCUAUGAUAUGGACAAUCAUAAAGUUAGGUGUAAAAGGGCACACACGUUUAAAUAAUAGUAAAUCAAACUAUUCAAAUUCAAAGAGCCAUCCCGAAAAUUGACUAAGAUUAUACUAAAAUCAUUAGAAGUCAAAAAUCUUAAUCUAGACAUCACAAAUACCAUUAUUCCAUUAGACAUUUUAUUUAUUGAUUUUUACUUUUUCGUUAGAUUUGAUUAACUAUCGAUUUUAUUAAAUUUGAGAAACGAUUUAAUUGACAACAUAAUGAAGUAUUAAAACCAUAAUAUAUACUUAUUUUUUAAAUUAUUUUAAUACAUCAUUAGAUAAGAUCCAAUCAAAAAGUAACAUGUAAGAAUUAAAUUUUCUUUUUGCAGCAGAAAUUUAUUGUAAAACUGACACGUAAGCAAAACGUUCUAAAACUCGCUGUAGAACUGACACGUAAGUUUUUCACUACGCAAAUAAGUAUAUAGAUAGAUGAUAAAAUAUUAUAUAAAUUGAGUUUUCACUUCAUUUUAAUUUUAUCUUUCAACCUUUUGAAAUGUUCAAACUUCAAAUCUCUCUGAUUGUUCAGGGACAAGAACGUUCGCAAGGGAAAAAGAAAGAAACGCAAUCCAAAAUUGGUAUAUGAUUAAAUGCUCGACUUAGACGUUCUGUUAGUGCUGGUUUUUCCAAUAUAAUUUUUAUGGGGGAAUUUUUUAUUUUUUUGAAUGAAUGUUAAAUUUUAUUCAAACCCAAAAAAUAGCUUUUCUACAU
rnacentral:lncRNA from 1 species